rnacentral:lncRNA from 1 species
GAGCAACACAAUGAAACCAUGCUGGGACAUAAAUAUCAUUUUUACAUAUCAAGACACAUCACAACCCGGACUAGUUUUACCUUCGUAUGGGAGGUGGAUCUGUGAUGUCCGAGCUGUCCUGUUUUCUUCCUUUGUUCCGGGACCAACUUGUCGUCCUGCACAGCUCACAAUAGAAAACUUGGUGACAUUAUGACUUUUAUGAUCCAGGUUAUGUAUCACUUAAAACACAUAAUAUUGUGAAAGUCAUAUUU